UUCGAUAACAAUUAUGUAAUGUGAUCUAACAAAACCUUCUGGUGACUAUAUAUUUCUUGUCUAGAUACCAUUAAUUAUUUAUUAUACUAAAUGAUUGAUUUGAUGUAAUUGUCAACAACACAAAAACCUGCAGCGUUACACAUAUAAGGAUAAAUUGAAAGGGAAAAAAAUAAACAAGUGAAACUUAGAUGAUUUUACAAAAAUAACCCACUUUUUCAUGGAAAUUCCCAAAAUACCCCUGGUUUCAAAAAAAUCUCAAACUACCCCACUUUUAGGAGGAGGCG
rnacentral:lncRNA from 1 species